rnacentral:snRNA from 1 species
GAACCGUUGAUUCGCACA